UGAGGAAAUACCGGUUCUCCUACAACCACCAAAGUUAAGCCACAUCAAACCUGGUCAGUACCUAAGUGGGUGACCACUUGGGAAUACCAGGUGCUGGAA